GAUGAACGCUGGCGGCGUGCCUAAUACAUGCAAGUCGAGCGAACAGACGAGGAGCUUGCUCCUCUGACGUUAGCGGCGGACGGGUGAGUAACACGGGGAUAACCUACCUAUAAGACUGGGAUAACUUCGGGAAACCGGAGCUAAUACCGGAUAAUAUAUUGAACCGCAUGGUUCAAUAGUGGAAGACGGUUUUGCUGUCACUUAUAGAUGGAUCCGCGCCGCAUUAGCUAGUUGGUAAGGUAACGGCUUACCAAGGCAACGAUGCGUAGCCGACCUGAGAGGGUCAUCGGCCACACUGGAACUGAGACACGGUACCGACUCCUACGGGAGGCAGCAGCAGGGACUCCUCCGCAAUGGGCGAAAGCCUGACGGAGCAACGUCGCGUGAGUGCUGAAGGUGUUCGGCUCGUAAAACUCUGUUAUUAGGGAAGUACAAAUGUGUAAGUAACUAUGCACGUAUUGACGGUACCUAAUCAGAAAGCCACGGCUAACUCCGUG
rnacentral:rRNA from 1 species